UGGAUCCUUCCUGCGAUCCUUUUAGCAGUUGUGAGACAAACAACAUUAACCCUUUGUAGUACGUGUUUGCCAGUGAAAGAGAUAUGUUUGAUGUAAAGUUCCAUGGGUCUGUCAUAGAACAAAAAGCGACGCGUUUCAGCUAGCCUUAGGGGCGUAACUGGGAAUUCCGCCACUUUCUUAGGGGCUCGACGAGUGGCUUCUUUCGGCCUCUUUUAUAUUUUCCUUUCGACUCGUUGUUUCGCCAACUUUUUUCUACACCUCUGACACCUCUUCUCCCGUCACUAUUCUUCCGCCUUUAACCUUGUAAGCUUACAUGUGCCGGGGGGUGUCGGCCACGACAUGGAGAGGCCAAUGGGAUCUGUGCGGCCAUUUUUAGAGGGCUCGUUGAAGCAACCGUGCCCAAAGCUUUGGCAGCAUUCAGUCUGAAGCAGUCAACCAGUCAGGAGGAUUCGCUAGAAGUUCUUGACUCGAGCUGCUCUAACACUCGCGGCCAGAGAAUAUCCUCGACCUCUCGAAGGACUCGGUCUGUCUCGCAAGUCCAACAUGGACGACGCUACCGGCCGGAACCGUUCCGAUCCGCAAUCGAAUCGAACAGCAAGUGCGAGCAAUCAGGUAUCUCGCCGAUCGGUGAAACGUAUCGGUUUUCAGGAUCCUAUCCCGUGAACGCGCGGAUUUCGACCGUGUCGAAACCAGUGGAUUACGUAAUCGUUCGAUUAGAAG
rnacentral:misc_RNA from 1 species